UUGGCUGGGAAUGUGAGGCGUGCUUCAGAAUCGGGUGAGAGCCGACGUGCAACGCAUGUGCACUGCCACACGAGAGCGCUCACGGCACAGAAGGUGCUCGUGCCACCACCGCAAAGGUGCUUUAAGAAGGCGACCUGGUCCCUGGAAAUAGUGAAGACUUCAAUGGCAAGAGGUCCUGACAGGUCGAAGAAGGUGUGCUUAGGGUAGAACGUCAAGAGUGCAUCGGGGUGGAUUGUGGGCGGAGACCGUGCACGGAGUAGGUCACGAUCAUGGCAUGGGAGCUCCACAGUAGCGCAGUCACCAUGCUUGGAGAAGGUCGACCAUGUCUGGAAGAAGUGAAACGCGCUUAAGGCGUCGACGACGGCAUGGUGGAGAGCUGUCCCUAACACCACCCCACCACACUUCAAGAAAGUCACCUGCCAUCAUAAGUCCCAAUUUAUCUACUCCAAUCCAUUUUGUUGUUAAAUGUUGGAAAAUGGACUUAUAUUCAACAGUAUGGAACUAAGUAGAGAAAGCUGUGGUCGUGGACCUGUACGGCCAAAAUGAUCGACAAUGGCUCAAUGAGUGGAACAAACAGCCUCCUAAGCUCUGGCGACGGCUUGAAUUUCUUUACGUCAUUGGCAGUGAAAUCAUCAGCUUGAGCGACAAUAAAGAGUGCACCUUCGCCAUUACAGCUGAUCUCCAUCCUGCCGUCAGCAUCGUUGACGCCGAGGCGGCCGGCGAGGGGGUAGAAGGCCACCAAGGCUCUGGCCAUAGCCUCCUUGAGCCUAGCCACGUCGAAGAAAGGAUCAGCCGCAGCAGCAUUGUUGGAGCUGCUAUACAGAUAGAUCGUCGGAGUGUGGCCUUGGUUGGCCAGCGAGAGGUCCAAGGAGGACAGCCAGAGCACCUUUCUCGGUGCCGGCUCGCUGGGCGUUACAAACGACGACUCUAUCACCUGCACCUCGAAAUCCAUCGCUGAUUUCAUUAUUUCUCUCCUUGUUUGACACGCACGCACGCACCGAGAUUAAAUAGGCCGCGGCAGCACACAACGCGCGCGGGGAGGAGGAAAUGAACGGAGUUGCCAAAUUGGUGGUGCCGACGCAGCCACAUCCGGCGGAUUAUAUUUGGUGAUGCCGACGCAACGACAGUGUGGCUCUGGUAGGUGCAAUGUUUUAAAUAGCGGGCUAAGCCUCUUAGCGGCAGUCUCUUUAAAAGGCUAAGAAAAGCUAUAGCGCGCUAAUAGCGGGCUAAGCCAUUUAGCGGCUGAGAAAAAAUAUGUCAAACAUCAUGUAAUUUUACACAUAAUAAAGAUGAAAACAUUAUGAAUACCAAUAGGGAUAGAUAUUUCAAAGCUUUACUAACAUAUUACAUCAAAGUUCGUAGUUUAUACAUGAUACAUCAAUAAUAACAUACAUCACAUAGGGACAUAUCCCUGCUAUUUGGGCCUCCAAGUUAUUUGGACCGAUGGAAAUGAAGCCCAAGGCCAAAUAGCGACGCUAAACUAACCCAAUUUAGCGAAAUUAGCGCGCUAUUAGCUGCUAAUAGCGGGAACGAUCAUUUAGCGUUAAAAUCUUCAUAGCUUAGCAGUUUUCUUCCAGAAACGCUAAAUAGCGCUAUAGCGUCCGCCAUAGCGCGCUAUUUAGAACAGGGGGUAGGUGGCAUGCCAAGUACGUACUGGCGUGCAGCCGUGCAGUACUCUUCAGAUCACCGAUACCACGUCUGGUGGCGUCGUCUCGUCCAAUACGUGAUCUUCGUCGUCGUCCCACCCUCCCGGUCCCGGCCCAAGUGGCGUCUCUCUCUCUCUGUACGUCCGGUUUGCCCUAUCGUUCUGCCGCCACGGGCGCCUUCAUUUCGCUGCAGCUGGCUUACUUGGUUGUUACUAAUGGAUCGGCCUGCCAAUUGUUGUGCUUUUGCUACUACUAGUAUCUGUAAAAGAUUUGAUGACAACAAAACAUUGCUUCAUACAGAUAACAGAUAAUUACUCCAAAGCAUUUUAGUGCUGGGUUGCCUGAUGAUGCAUCUCUGCAACUGUAAGUGCUCGCAAAAAAACAUAACCAUAUCACAGUAGUUUCACUAAAUCUUUCAGUCAGCAUAGAGCGUUAUUCGGCGGAUGGACGAUAUAUGUCUGGAUCAGACAUGCAUGAGUGCUCCCGCCAAUGAAAGAGGAGGGGCCGUUCUGCUCGUGUUUCUGUCAUGCAUAAGUACCACAUGUCUCCCUGUAGCGCUAAACAUGGCGCCAAAGAAUGCGGCAGUCGCUUGCAAAAAAAACACACCUCUCCGCUCUGGGGCCUCCUGCAUGCAGGGACGACCGAGUCAGAGAAAACCUAAGGGGAUGUUUAGUUGGGGUGUUAAAGUUGUACUGUAGUAUUUUUGUCUUAUUUGACAAUUAGUGUUCGGACUAAUUAGAAUCAAAAGAUUCGUCUCAUAAAUUACUCUCUAGUUGUGUUUUUAGUUUCGUAAAUAGUCUAUAUUUUGUACUCCAUACAUGUGUCCAAAAUUUGACGUGACGUGAGUUAAACUUUACCGGCGUCAACCAAACAUGCCCUAAGAUGACAUGGGUCAACCGGUCAAGCACAGUAGCCUCUGCUAAUCUUCUUGUACGUACCAGCGAAACAAUAAGUAUCUUAUUACUUUUUUUUUGAAAUUGGAUGACUUCAUAUUACUCCUGAGCUGAAGAUUGUUCAGCAACAAUCACAUAAAUGUGCGCGCGCGGGAAGUGAAUUGAUGAUUGUCUCACCUCCUGUGUCCAAAAUAAGGUUGGAAAUUCCUUGAUCAAUUGCUGCUUGGGCACCCUGCAAGCAUGCUAUAAUUUCAGCUUGUAGUGCAUUGUAAAGUUAUUGCACUCUCCCACUUCCUGCAGUCACCACAUCCCCGUGUCAAUCCCUAAUCACAUAUCCCUAACCACAUAUCCCCAACCACCAGCUUUUGUAGUAGAGGAGAAAGAUGCAUCACAAUUCAGUUUAAGGUUUCCUCCCGGUGGUUUCAGCCAUGGCCCUUUCUCCCUUGGCACAGAAAUUUUUGGAUCCUUCAUUGUCUGCAUCAACUCUCCAACAUACAGGCACAUUGAUUGGGCAAGCAAACCAGCACAUUUAGUUUGGACCCCCCCCCCCCCCCGUCAUUGUCAUUGUCUGCAUCAACUCUCCAACAUACAGGCGCAAUUGGGCAAUGGACCCCCCUCCCCCCCCCCCCCCCUCCCCACCCACACACACACAUCCAGAUGGUGAUCAAAAUCAGCAUUUUCUUUUCCGUUCUUAUAGAUAGAAUAUACCAAAUAACUUCCAUAGAUAACUCCUCCGCCAAAAUAACACGCUCUUCUUCCAAAUUCAGAAAGCGCCAAACUUGUUUGACAGUUUUGCAUUUGAAAAACAAGUGGCCUCCAUCUUCAUCAACUCUGCAGCAACCCGGUCAAAUAGUGUUCAGCUUAAUUCCUCUACGCAUCAAAUUCAUUUUCAAAGGGUGACUGUUAUGAGCAAAUCUCUGUAGGAAAUGUUUGAGCUUAUUCGGGCAAUCCAAUUUCUUUAUUCCACCCCAAAGUGGAUCCACAUCCCCACUGCCUAAGUGAACUUGGCUUUUAGAAUCCUUGCACAUAAUGAGUUUGGAUCCUGCCAAAGUCUCAAUCUUUGUUUUGCUAGCAUAGCAAGAUUGAAAGAACAAAUAUCCCGAAAACCCAAUCCUCCCUCCUUAGAUAGCAUCAUUUUCUCCUAGCUUAACCAGUGAACUUUAUGUACAUCUUCCCGCUGAUUCCACCAGUAGCGGCAUACUUGUACUAAUCUGAUCGCAAAGGUCUCUUGUCAAAUCAAAACAACCCAUGGCAAAAAUGGGGAUAGCUUGAGCCACGGCUUUUUUAUCAACACCUUCUUCUGGCCCACGACAAAAAUUUCUCCUUCCAACCUUGUAUUCUUCCAUAUAUAUUUGGUCUUUUAGAUAAGCAAAAGCUUCAGAUUUAGACCCUCCAAUAUGCACCGGUAGACCAAGAUAGAGGUCUUAACGGAGGCACCACAUUCAUUCUCACCGGAUAAAAAAAAGAUAAAUCCAAAAAAUUCUCACAAUAAUCAGAAACAUCUAGUCUUUGAUUUGGUAGUCUCUAAUCAUCAUAUCUGAUAAUAGACUAUGGAUCUAUUGUAGCUUAUUAAAAGUUACCCACCAAUGCAUUAUGAACAAUACAUAAAAUAACCCCCUAAUUUAUAUGUAAAUUACCCACCACUGUCAUUAUAGAAGAUAAUUCAAAAUAACCCCCUAUGUUUAUAUAUAAAUUGCAUCUAAAUUAUCCAUCUUUAUAAUUAUAAAGGGUAAUCUAAAAUAAUCCUCUAACUCUGUAUAUAAAUUACUCACAUGUACCCUUAUGAAAGAUAAUUUAAAAUACGAACUAUGAUUUUAUAAAUUGUCCACCUUUAUCAUUAUGAAAGAUAAUACAAAGUAAUAUUCUAAGUUCACGCCUGACCUUUAUAUCAUCGUGAAAGAUAAUAUAAGGUAUUAUUACCUUUAUAUUUGUAUCUACCUUAGCUAUUAUAAAAAAUAAACAAAAAAUCUCUAAAAUCUACAUGUAAAUAGAAAUAUAUAUUAGUAAAAAAAUAAAUCAAAACAAAGUACGAUAAUAUAUGUUUGUAAAUUAAAGACUUCUAUAAUUAUAAAAUAAAAUAACUAUAAUGCUAUGUUCUACCAUGUAAUCAAAUAUACAUGUAUAUAUUAGGAUAAAUUUUUACUUUAACAACUUAUGAAACAUUGAAAAAUGUUCACUUACCAAAUUUCAUAGCAAAAACACUUUAUAUUAACAGUCUAUGAUAAUAAAUUUCAUUACUUAUAAUUUUAUUAGUUAUAAUUGAAAGGAUCAAGAUGCCCAAGAGAAAGGUGAAUUGGCCUAAUUCUAAAAUUUCUUACAAGAAUUACACCCUACACUUAGCCCAUUUGACCCCCUAGUGCCAAAGUGUGUUCUCUAUGAUCUACCGCACAAAAGUUUUACAUCCUAGAUUCCAAUCCUACUGUAACAUGGUAAUUCUAAAAUGUAACGACAAGAAUUGAAUUGGUCAAAAGUAAAUGCUCAAAGUAAAUUAGAGGGAAAGGAACGCGGCGAUGAUGUUUUUUGAGGUAUCGGAGAGUCACACUCCCCAUUAGUCCUUGUGGAGCACCCACGAAAGGGUGUAGCUCCCCCUCAAUCCGUGCAAGGAUUGAGUGCUCUCUAUGGGCCGAUUCUUCGUCGCUCCAACACGGUGAAAUCGUCUAUAACCACUCACAAGCACCGCCAGAUGAUCACCAAGCUUUUGAGUCAUCUAGGUGAUGGCUAUCACCAAGAGUAACAAGUACAAACUCUCACUUGAUCAUGACAAGCCUAAUGAGAAAGAUGGAUGCACACUUGCUACUCUCUAUGCACUAAUGAGGGCCUUAAUCUUAGGUUCUCAAAUAUCUCAAUCACCCCACUAAGCUUUUGUUGUCUCUUGCACUUCAAAGUGUUUCCUCAGCUGAAUAAAUGGGCAAGAGAGCUAAGUUGGACGAGUAUGAGAAGUAUUUAUACUCCCCGCUUCAGAACCCAACCGUUAUUGUUCUACUCAGCAAAAUACGAGAUGACCAGACACGCAUGUCCAUAAGACUGGCACUACCACAAAACUGAAUACCCUUGAGGGUCAAAAACCCUCAAGAAAACCCUAAAGCCGCCAAAAAAAAUCAAUAUUGACGGCUAGCACUCAAGGAAUGGCCGCCAAGGGUAGAGAGACAAGGAAACACUAUUUCCUUGAGUGUCGGCCGCCACAAAUCAAUUCCUUGAGGGUUAAACCGUCAAGAAAAUAAAUCAGUGGUUAGAUUUUUAGCAUCGUCAAGAAAAUAUAACGACACCCAAGGAUAUAGAUUUCCUUGAGUGUCAAUGACACUCAAGAAAAUGUAAGAACACCCAAGGAUAUAAGUUUCCUUGAGUGCCGAUGGCACCCAAUAAAAUAUAAAAACACCCAAGGAUAGAUAUUUUCUUGAGUGCCGAUAACCUCAAGGAUAUGUAUGGAAAAAAAGAAAAACAAUCUUAUAUUUGUUGAAGUUGAGAUUCAAACUCAUGACUUGAGAUUCCAAGUGAAACUAACUUACCACUACACCACUUAGUCUUUUGUGACCAAGUGAAUGUUUCUUUCUUUUUGUUUUCACUUUAGCGGAUCUUGUAAUAAAUAUUUGAGAACCUAAAUGAUUUCAAAUAAAAAAAGUUUGAAUUAUAAAGUUUUGUAUCUCAUCGAGUACUAUAACUUUGGUUUAGGUUGUAUCUCUAUCUGAGGUCAUUUGAAAGAUUCAAAAAAUUUAAAGUUCAAAAUUCUAAUAAUUUAAAACAUAUUUUAUGGACCUCAAAUAAUUUCAAAUGAAAAUUUCAUCAACUAAGAAUUUGUAUAUCUCUUCGGGCUCUAUAACUUUGAUAUAAACUUUGCCUCCAUACGAUAUUAGUAUGUUACAUUUUAGCUUUAAAAUAAGCAAGCAUCUCAAGCUAAGUGCUAGUAUAUGCAUUCUCUAAUGCAUAACAACACGAAAUUAUAACUUUAUUGGAUUAAUUUACUAACAACAAAUAUAUAUCAUUUUCCAAACAUGUCAAUGGAGCAUUUAUGUCUAUAAAAUGCAAUAUCUAACUAACAAGAAUGCAAUGAGUUCACUAUAUCGGUGGUUAAGAGAAAUAUGACUAUAAACUGUUUUUUCCUUGACAGCUACAAUAAUUUACUUGAGGGUUUGCACCUAAAGAAACUAGAACUUUCUUGGCGGUUUCUAGUUACACCCAAGGAAAUGUGAAUUACCUUUAGUGGUUUAUAAUAACACUUAAGGAAACAUAGAAUUACCUUGGCGGUUUCAACUAGCACUCAAGAAAAUACAGAUUUAACUUGGCGGUUUGGAUUAGCACUCAAGAAUAUGCAUUUUCUUGGGUGUUUUAUACAACUCUUAAGGUAAUUGUAUAUCCUUGGGGGUUUAAUUUCGCUCCUCGAGGAAAUUGCUAGCCCUCAAGGAUACUCAAUUUUCUGGUAGUGUGGACCUACAGGUCGAUACACCAUGGCCACAACACGCGGAAUUGUCAGAGCUGACCAUUGGAGUGAUUUGACGCAGGCCACUGUCCGAUCAGCAUCCACCUAACACGUCCGAUCACUCAAAACCUUAUCUCAACCCUUUCCGUGUGCUUUUUGAUGUCGACCGGACGCUGGCUCACUAGAGUUCGAUCAUUAGUACAUGUGGGUUACUGUAGUUUAGCUGGAAAUUACAAGACAAAUCUUUUAAACCUAAUUAGUCUAUGAUUAGUCUUAAAUGCUAUAGUAACACAAAUGUACUAAUGAUAGAUUAAUUAGGCUUAAUAAAUUCAUCUCGCAGUUUCCAGGUGAGUUAUGUAAUUAGUUUUUUUAUUAGUAUCCAAAUACUCUUUUCGACAUCCUAUGAAACAUCUGAUGUGACAUUCAAAAAGUUUUCAUUCCCUAACUAAACAAGACCUUAGUCGGUAAUCAUCACAUGAAAUACCUUGCCUAGCAAGCUACUAGAUCUUUGCAUAAAGAAGCCGCUCUAUCUUAUAUUUACAGCCUCCAUGCACAUGAGCAAACGAAUGACACCGCGCUGCUAGCACCAUUGUCAUCGUUCAUCAAGAACACAACCCCUCCACGACGGUUCCCCGCCAGCGACAUCAACUCUGGCUUCCCCCAUCCAAAAUCUGCAUCGUAUUGUGGCCUACCCAACUAGCUGGUUAUAUGCGGCAAGGUACCCCUCGGAGGCCAGCUGUCCAUCUCGGCCAUCUCAAAGUAGUCGAUCGCAAAGCACACCAGCUCAUCAUCCAUCCGAUCGAUGGUGCCUCUGAUGCGGCUAGCGAUGGAUCCCAAUGCCUCUAUGGCAAUAUCUCGCGCUGCACUAGUGACGCCUAGCCAAAACAUCGCAUUGCCAAAGUAGCAGCUCGGGAGGGGCGGUCUCAUCCUAUGUCGUAGGUCAGCCGAGAACACUAGGUGUGCUUGAGAAUCAGGUGGGAGUCGACGCGCAACGCAUGUGCACUGCCACACGAGAGAGCACUCACGACGCAGAAGGUGCUCGUGCCACCUCCGCAGAGGUGCUUCAACGAGGCGAUCCAAUCGUUGGAAAUGGUGAAGACUUGGAUGGCAAGAGGUCGUGAUGGGUUGGACAAGAUGUGCUUAGGGUAGAACAUCGAGAGCGCGUUGGGAUGGACCGCAGGCGGGGACCGUGCGCGGAGUAGGGUGCGGUCAUGGCAAGAGAGCUCCACGGUAGGGCGGUUGCCAUGCUUGGAGAAGGCCGACCAUGUUUGGAAGAAGUGGAACGCGCUUAAGGCAUCAACGGCGACGUGGUGGACAGCUGUCCCUAAAGCCACCCCUCCGUACUUCAAGAAAGUCACCUGCCAUCACAUAUAAUCACGACAAUUGAUAUAUAUGUAUAAUAUAAUAAUGGUUUUCUAUUUUCUAAAGAUAAUUAUAAAAAUAUGGGUUUUUCUCUAAAAUUUCAUAAUUAAUCUACUUUAAAUUGGAGAAAUCUGAAACUAGCACCAGGUUUUAUUUCAAUUCGUUAUGUAUCUGAUAGUCCUCUAUUGAGAGUCAUUUAGCUCUCAUUUAUUUUAAAUAAACAAUAAUUAAACAUGAUUGCAAGCAGUAAAACAAUAUGAACAUAAAUAAAUUAGUUCCAAGUUACUAUAUAUGGAUCAAAAUAAGUAUAUAAUAUAUUUUUAUUUUUUAGAAAGAAAGAUACAUACAAGUUUUAUAUUUUUAUUUAAAAUAAUUUAUUUAUUAUGAAUUUUAGAUAGCAAACCAACUGCUUAUUAUUUUUUUACAAAAUACAAAAUCAUCUUUGAAACUAGCAAGAGGACCCAAUUUACGUACUCCGAUCCAUUUCGUUGUUAAAUGUUGAAAAAUAGGCUUACUAAUAUUCAACGGCAUGGAACUAAACAGAGAAAUUAGUAGACCUGUACGGCCAACAUGAUGGACGAUGGCUCAACGAGAGGAACAAAUAGCCUCCUCAGCUCUGGCGGCGGCUUGAAUUUCUUGACGUCAUCGGCAGUGAGAUCAUCAGCCUGAGCGACAACAAAGAGUGCACCUUCGCCGUUACAGCUGAUCUCCAUCUUACCGUCGCCGUCGUCGUUGUUGAUGCCAAAGGCGGCCGGCGAGGGGUAAGGCCACCAAGGUUCUGGCCAUAGCCUCCUUGAGCCUAGCCACGUCGAAGAAAUCAGCCGCCGCGGUAACAUCGUUGGAGCCCCUUGUGUACAGGUAGAUCGUUGGAGUAUGGCCUUGGUUGGCAUGCAUGAGGUCCAAGGAAGAGAGCCAGAGCCCCUUUCCUCGGCGCCGGCUCGCCGAGCGUUACAAACGACUCUACUUUUCUAAUUUUUUUAAUAAAAGAUAGUUUAUAUCUGGCUUUAUCUAUAAACUAGUAGAAUCAGACUAAUUAUUACAAAGUUUAGCCCAUAGACUAGCACACGAGCCAUAAAGUAAUCUUAGAACAAGGUAAUGUUUUUUUGACUAAACGAAACCAAUAGACAUAUUUGACAACUACUCUUGGAAGCAAAGAAGUGCAAAGCCGACGUCUCUAGAUGUUGGCUUGCAAACAACAGCUGAUCCUGAUGAUCAUCACGCCGCUGCAGUCUUACCCAUUGGCGGAGCUAGUGGGUUCACCUGAAAAGAACCAGCAAAAAAGUUUUUGGUUUACAUUUGUCAAAAACCACCUCGUUUCUUGUUAUGCAAACUGCCCAACACAAAGCUGAUGUUGCAAUCAACAUAAGGAAUUAAUUAUGUUUGUUACCACCCAUCUUAGACCACCUAUUAAACAAGUUAUCUAUACUCUGAGGAGGUGAUAUCCCAAACAUUAAAUGCAGCGCGCCACAAGAAUUUGGCAUAUAAACAAUCAAAAAAGAGAUGUUGAAUACUUUCUGGUGAGUGACAUAAACUACACCUCGUAUCGCCAUUCCAAUUUCGUUGAGCAAGGUUGUCUUUAGUUAAAGUCAAACCUUUUUUUAAGAUACCAUAAAAAAAAUAUUCUUGUAGGAAUUUUAAUUUGCCAUAUUUCCUGUGACACUCUAGCUCCAUUGUUAAUCAACGCAUCAUACAUAGAUUUGACGGAAAAAAUUCCUAAUGAUUGUAAAGACCACACAAACACAUCUCUACCCUCCUGUAAGCUCACAUCAUGUAAAGAGGCAACAAUUCUGUGCCAAUCCCUUAGGUUUCUACCCACUAGAUUCCGACGAAAAGAAAUAUUUAGUGGGAUUGAGCUAAGUACUUUUGCUACAUAAUCUUGUUUCCUUCUCACUAUAUUGAACAAUCCGGGGAAUUUGUCCUUAAGUGCUUGAUUGCCCAGCCAAGUGUCAACCCAGAAUCGGGUGUGUGUUCCGUCUUUCACCUUGAAAGAUCCAAAACUCAAAAAAGUGUCUUUAACAUUCAUCAAACUUUUCCAGAAAUAGAAAUUUGUUGUUUUUUUGAUGCACCUCCCUAUAGUCUUAUCUUUGACAUAUUUAUUCCUCAAGAGUUCCUACCACAUACCAUCUUCAUUUAAUAAUUUGAAAAACCAUUUACUCAACAAACAUUUAUUUUGUAAAUCUAGAUUUUGUAUUCCUAAGCCUUUUGGUUGGCACAAAAUUUCUCAUUUAACUAAUCUAUACUUUGUUUGUGUUGGUCAUUCUGCUAAUAAAAUCUUGAUCUAUAACAUUCAAUUUUUUCUAGCACCCCUCUUGGGAUUUCAAAAAAAGACAUCAUAAACAUCGGUAAACUAGAAAAAUCCGAGUUUAUUAAAACUAAACGGCCUCCUGUCGAGAGCAAUUUUCCUUUCCAACCACUGAGUCUAUUUUCAAUUCUAUUCUCAAUCAUUUGCCAAUCCUUAUUGCUUAAUUUUCUAGUAUGCACAGGUAUGCCUAAAUAACGAAAGGGGUAUGUCCCAAUAUCACAUCCAAAUAGUUACGAAUAGAACACUUCUUGCUCUUUUGCUUAACCAAAACAAAAAAUUUCACUUUUAUGAAAGUUUAUUUUAAGUCCUGAUAGUUGCUCGAAGGUAGUAAGAACCAGUUUUAUAUUUACUGCCUUUUUAACAUCAUGGCUCAUAAAAAUCACAGUGUCAUCCGCGUACUGGAGAAUAGACAGACCAUCUUGAAUAAGAUGAGGGAGGACCCCUUCUACUAGACCUGCUUCCUUUGCUCUAGCAAUCAAAAUGGCCAACAUGUUCACUACUAUAUUAAAUAGUAUCGGGGACAUUGGAUUCCUUAUCGUAAACUUUUUUUUUUUGUUUGGAAGAAGGAUCGUAGAUGAUCGUUAAUCUUGAUACUACCUUCAUGUUUCUUCUUGUCACAAGCACGCACCGGUUAAAACGACCACAGAACAACCGCCAGUACACCAGUAAUCGAUGAUGUUACUAUUUGCAGCUACAGUUGCAAAGGGAGGGAGACUGGAGUUGCGGGCUGUUUAGAUUGUAGAUGAAAAAUUUUUGGAUGUCACAUCGGAUAUGUCGGAAGUAUGUCGGGAGGGGUUUUUAAAAACUAAUAAAAAAACAAAUUACAUAGCUCAUCAGGAAACUGCAAGACAAAUCUAUUAACUAUAAUUAAUCUGUCAUUAGCACAUGUGGGUUACUGUAGCACUUAAGGCUAAUCAUGGACUAACUAGGCUUAAAAGAUUCGUCUCGUGAUUUUCAACCAAACUGUGUAAUUAGUUUAUUUUUUAUCUACAUUUAAUGUUCCAUGCAUAUGUUCAAAGAUUCGAUGGAAUGGAUGAAAUUUUUUUGGAUGGGGAACUAAACAGGGCCUAAGGGGAGGAGGAAAUAAUGGAGUUGCAGACAUGUGUCGACGCAACGACAACAGCUAUGGUAGGUGGCAUGUCCGAGUAUUUAUCACGGGAGAGGAGAGGACAGCCAUACUGGCAUACAGUACUCUGAGGUCUGAGGUCAGUCUCGAAGACUACCAUGACCUUGAUUAGUUCAUUCUAAAAACCAAAAAAUUUUCAAGAUUUCUCGUCAUAUCGAAUCUUGUGGCACAUGCAUGAAAUAUUAAAUAUAGACGAAAUUAAAAACUAAUUACACAGUUUAGCGGUAAAUCACGAGACGAAUCUUUUGAUCCUAGUUAGUCCAUAAUUAGAUAAUAUUUGUCAUAAACAAACGAAAGUACUACAGUAUCGAAAACUUUUCACUUUUCUGAACUAAACAAGGCCCAUAUAUCAUGAGUCAUGACCAACGUUUGGAUUUGUGGCCUUGUGGGUAGCCUAAUCCCCUGGAUUUGCAGCUCUGACGUCGUCGUCGUCGUCCCUCCCUCCCGGCCCGGGCCUCCUCUCUGGCUCUUGCAGGAGAUGGGGAUGCAUGUGGCCGGCGUCUCUGCACGUCCGGUUCGAUCGCCCUGUCGUUCCGCCGUCAUGGGCUCCUUCAUUUCGAUGCAGCUCGCUUACUUAAGGACUUGUUUAGUUCCAAAAAAUUUUGUAAAAUAGGAAUAAUAGCACUUUCGUUUGUAUUUGACAAAUAUUAUCCAAUUAUGGACUAACUAGAUUCAAAAGAUUCGUCUCGUCAAUUCCGACCAAACUGUGUAAUUAGUUUUUAUUUUUAUCUAUAUUUAAUACUCCAUGCAUACGUCUAAAGAUUCGAUGUGACGGGAAAUCUGAAAAAUUUUGCAAAAUUUUUGAGGAAGUAAACAAAGGCUUAAGUGGUUGUUACUAAUCGAUCGGCCUGCCAAUUGUUCUGCUUUUGCUACUACUAGUAUCUGUAAAAGAUUUGAUAACAACAAAACAUUAUUGCUUGAUAAGCAUUUCAGUGCUGGUUCCCUGAUGGUGCAUCUCUGUUACAGUAAGUGCUUCGUCCAAUGGACAGAUAACCAUGCAUGUCACAGUAGCUUCAGUCAAUUUUUAUCAGUCAACAUAUUCGGCGGAUGGAUAAGACAUGCAUGAUUAGUGCUCCCGCCAAUAAAAGAGGAGAGACCGCUCUGUGCUCGCUUUAGAGUUCGCGUGUUUCUGUCACGCAUAAAUACCAUGCCUGCCUGUAGCGCUAAACAUGGCGGCAGCCGGCAGUCGCUUGCAAGCUCAUGCCUUCUCACGGCCAGCUCCGCUCUGGGCCCUUCUGUACGCAGGGACGCCAGAGCUAGAAAACCUAAGAUGACAGUUUUGACAGGGGCGUCAAGUACACUAGUCUCUUCUACUAAUACAGUAAUCUUCUUGUUUUCAUAUGGUGAAAACUAGGUGUAGUAUGCUGCAAAAGAUGAGUGGUUGGGUUAGAAAUACUAGGUACAAAAUGAUUUACGUAGCAGGGAUAGUGCCACGCAGGGAAUCAACAACUCUAGGGAAGAAAGAACCGAUCAUGGUCACGGAUGGGCUUGAUGCAUGUUAGUUUUUAUAUAAGUUGAUGCUACUCCAACCGCAACCGAUACCAGCCAGGAUAUUCAAAACAGUUUGCCACAAACUGCAUGAGGUGUGUACAAUUGUUUGGACACCCCUACGCGCUACUACAUAAACUGCUUUUGGAGGUGGCCUUUCCCCCUCACAAGUCACAAACAGACAGUAAUGGAUUCCGCCUAUCAAUUGGUAUCAAGGGGCCAUUUGGCAGCCUUUGGAGAAACUUCUCCAUGACAAUCACUCCUCAGCCAAACAUAAAAACACAGCACAAUUUCUGGUAGAGAGCAAAGAAGACACUUCUCCAUUUAUACUGGAAGCUAAAAUAAAAAUCCUCUCCUCACUGCGCCAUAAUCAAUCCCCACCAGAAUUUGAUAGAUUAUGAGAAUGCUACGCUAGUCAGAAAACAAAAUUUUGAUCUCAUAAAACAGGAUCAACUGCUAGUUAUAGAUCACGGGAUUACCACUAGACGCGCAGGUGCAGCGGAAGCAACUCGGUGUAGUCGUGCACGUAGUAGCAGUGCCGUGCAGUUGCGUGGUCGUCCGUCACGUCAAUCCCCUUCGUGCGGUUCAUCCUUGUGCUCCAGAUGCAGCACCUCAGAGGUAUUCCACACAUACAGGGAAGAAGCGUCGUGCUUCCGGACUGCGAGGUCCGUGAGGAGCAACAGGCGUGGGCAUGGGUGAGCGGCGGCUGCUGUCAAAUGACGUGUGUCAACCCUAGCCGCCCCUACCCUCUCUUUUAUAGGUCUCCCUUAAUCAGCACUGAGUUGGAGGCCCAAUUAUAAAACUCUAAGCCUGUCUAAUUUGGGUCCAACCCGAAUUAAGCUUCCAGCCCCUUAAGCGUGCGACCCUAUGGGUUCACAUACAUAUAGACAUGAGCUGAGUACUUCUACUCGCCCAAUAGUUGACAACGUCAUCUAACAAGGUGUGACAACUCCUAUACGCAUGCAAAGAUCAUAUUAGACGAACCACUACAAACACAUACAUGUUAUUCCCUUGCCACACGAUAUUUGAUCGAACUCGUGGGUUAACACAUAACCCAAGCACGGCCAUGCAUUUGUUGAUCCAAUCACUUGAGUGAUCCAGUGAUAUCUCUCUCAUAUAGAGAGGGGCAAGUUUCAUCUUGAUUAUCUACGUCUCAUAGCAUGUUUCCUGACAAACCCGAAGACCACCUUUAUAACUACCUUAUUACGGAGUAGCGUUUAAUAGUCCCUAACUAGAUCGAUUCACAUCGUGAGAACAUACGACAAUCUCAAGCCUAAGGACAUAACGUACAUGAUGUAUAAAGAGAUAAUAAGAACAUCUCAGUUGGGUCAGUCCAGCCCCAUGUCAUACAUGUGCCCACAUUAUUAGUUUGACAUCUCUAUAUCUAUGAUUUGUAAACCAUAGUCAUCAACUGAUACAUGUGCUAAUCUAAUAUUCAUGUGAGUCCUCAUACGAACUCUGAUCAGGGACAACUUUCAAAUAACCAUACAAGUAAAAAAGUUUCACAAACAAUUCACAUAAUUGUCAAUCGAUACAAGUUUGUCUAUAAUGGAUAUUCACUAAACUCAUAAUAUAUGUUAUGGAUAUAAUUGUAAUAUCAUCGUCUCUAUGAUUAUCUUAGGGCAUAUUCCCAAUAGAAUUAUCAUAUGGCAAAGUAACUAAAGGCAAGGCUACUUAUUGUGGAUAUGGUCUGCAAUUUAAGCCAAGAAACUUACCUCCUCCUGUGUCCGUGUUGGCAAUAGCCACCCUGACAUAUACUUCUUUUUGGAGGGUAGUCACGCAGGUGUCACAUACUCUUGAAGUUACUCCCAAGUCCCAUGUCACACACAUAACUAGAAACUCAAAUACUCCUGUGUGUGAUGAAUUUUUCUAUGUUUUUUACGGUACACACAAAAAAUUAGUAGUUAUUCUAUGGGUUCCAAAAAUACUGAUAGGAAGAAGUAUAUGUCAGGGCGGCUAUUGACAACACAGACACAGGGGAGGUAAGUUUCUAGGAUCCCAAACCCCUCUCUACUUGCAAAUGUGCCAACACUACCAAGUGUACGCCACCAUGUGCAUGUGUGUUAGCAUUUUCACAAACACAAUUCCAAAGGAGUUAGCCUCUUAACUUGCCACACCACUCAGUCCUAACACGUAUGCAAAGUUAGAUCGCUCAAGUGGCACUAGAUGACCAAUAUGCAAACAAGUUUGCCACUCUUGAUAGUACGGCCAUCUAUCAUAAACCCGGUCAUCAACUUCUCUACACACCUAAGACUAGUGAAAUGGAAAUGCCCUAGGUUAUACCUUUGCCUUAUGCAUUCCAUUCAACCACUUCCAAUGUUGAUGCAACACAUGCACCAACAAUAUCACAAAUGAUAUGAUCCACUUCAUAUCAUCACAUGACCAUAUUGGUUCAUUGAUAUUGACCUCACUUGCUCUUCACCCUUGCGUUGGUCCAUCGACGCCAAGUCUUUCUUAAGCUUCAUCGUCACACACGGUCCCUAGCUUCAAAGCCUGACUUUCCCUUCACACUUGCAACCGGUCCGUCGAGCCAAGCCUUGUCUUGAUCUUCUCCACCUUAGUCACAUGACUCCAUGUCAUGUCUCAUAUGCAAUAAGCUCCUUCAUAUAUUCACCUAUAGACUAAUCCUAUGUAUCUCAUAUAAACACAAUUAGUCCAUCUAAGUUGUCACUCAAUUACCAAAACCAAAUAAGGACCUUUCAAUAGGGUCAAGCUUCUCAAAAACACUCUUCUUGUUUGACUUCAUAGGGUGUGAGUUCCAAGCCUAGAUGCCAACGUCACAACCAUUUUUAUCUCAUCAAUGUCCCUGAUGAAGCCAUUGACCACAACGCUAGCCCACCGUUGUGUUCUAUGCCAGCUAGGCAAGGUUGCCACCCAAAACUACAUAGCGCAUGGUCCCACCACCAUCAACCACCAGGACUGUACCGUGACCUUUCUCCUCAAUGAACUCACGGAGCAGCAUGUUAUCCUUGAAGAUUUCAGUCCACAACAGGGCCACAAAAAUCUGCCGCCUUCAAUAGAUUGGAAGACAGGUUGGAGAGCAUGAAGACCACCAUUCAUAAUUAAAGAAGCAUUAGCAUCGCAUGCUUUAGUGGUGGCCAAUGGCAAGGUAGUCGUCUUAUCUUCAGUUAUGCUUGUCAUCAAAAGAAGAAAAGAGAACCAUGGAAUAGUACGUAUAGAUCAAUAGUAGAUCAUUCCUUACACAGAGUAACACUUGGGAUGAGGUUGAGCUUACACUUGGGAUGAUGGAUCAAGUACAAGACUUCAUCUUACAACAAUGCAUAGAAAAAAAUCAAGAGUUAGGGUUGGGAGAUGAACUCAAGAAAUGAGAGGUGAGUUUCAUGGAGAUGGUGAUGAAGAUCUCCACCUUCAUCUUGAGAUGGUGGUGCUAAGUACUUCCUUGAUCUUCUUCUUUUUUCUUUUCUUUCUCUCUCUACUAGUUCAUCCUUAUUCUCCCUUGUAGAGAGAGAGAGGGAGAGUGGAAAUGAGUGAGUGAGUGAGUGGGCGGGUGGGUGGGAGGGUGCUGGUUCCGUAGAUUGGAAUUGCUAAUUUGAGCUGACAUGUGGUUUGAAGGGGGAGGGGAGAGAGGAAGAUAGCUCAUCAAACUAAAUUCUACUGAAUAAAUGAUGUGGUGGAUGGUUCAUCAGGAUGUCGAAUAGUCUGGUAAACCACUAGAAUUGAGGAAUUUGAUUUAGGGGGAUGGGUUGAUGUUGGGGGUCCUUGGCUUUGAUCUAAGAGAUGAUAUGCACAAUUAGAGAGUGAUGAAAGGUUCUAUCUCAGAGAAUCUUCUUAGUGUCAAUGAACGUUGACUAGGGUUGACCCCUAGUUAGUUCAGUUAGGAGAAACCAAUAAGGUUAAUUAGAAAAUUUUGAGUCCUUGCCCUCCUAGGAGUACUAGGAGGUCUUUGGAGUAGGGAUGAGGUGAAUUCUUGGUUAAGAGGGCCUAUGCAAGGUCAUCAAGGAGGUUUUGGAAAAGUUAAAUUUGACUAGUAGAAAUUUCCACUUUUAUGACAAACUGAUUUUGUCAUUACAGGUGCCAAAUUUGUCAUGCUUCCAGUUCUGUGACGCAUUUAUGACAAAAAGUGGGUCUUGGUAAAAGCACCAUCAGAUUUGAUAUUCUAUGAUGAAUUUGAAAUUCGUCAUAGAAUUGAAACCCUUCAGUGAUGAAUCUAUGACAAGUCACCUAUUGCGCACGGUAUUUAGCGAUACCAACAUGUCUUCAUGUAGAAACAAGUUGAGAAACUAUAACUCGAAUUUUAAGAAAUCUUAUGUCAACUUAUACUAGCUGUGGAACUAUAUUCAUGUAGGCAUGGUACCUACAUAUGAUAGAUGUGGCCUUUGUUGCUCUUGUAGUUGUAGCACAUCAGAAACAUGUCAAAAUUUGGCAACCAUAUAUAUAUCUGUUUGGCAAACCAUCUGUUGUAGAUGAUCAAGUGAUAGAAGUGACAAAAUUAUACAGGUAAGCAUUACCAUUUUAAAAAGUAGCAUAGCACUGAUGGUUGAGUAAAUAUAAAAUCAUCACUAGCAUGUCAAACCAUACAAUGUUUUUUAUAUUCCCUUAAAUGACAGAAUCAUACACAAUUACAGGUCUUGCAUAGUGUGGUGAUAUGAUAUGAUAUGAUAUGAUAUGAUAUGAUAUGAUAUGAUAUGAUAUGAUAUGAUAUGAUAUGAUAUGAUAUGAUAUGAUAUGAUAUGAUAUGAUAUGAUAUGAUAUGAUAUGAUAUGAUAUGAUAUGAUAUGAUAUGAUAUGAUAUGAUAUGCAACCAAACCAGUAGACCAUCCAGCCUUCUUUGUAUCAGGCCUUUUUAUUUUUACAAAACCUCAAUCGUCAAGGUGUACCUUAAUGAGGCAAGUAAUCAUCGGAUGAAGUACCUUUCCUAGUAGCAAGCUGCUAGAGCUAGCUUUGCAUAAAGCAGUCGCUCUAUCUCCUUUAUAUUUACAGCCUCCAUGCACAUGAGCAAACGGACGCCACCGCUACCAGCACCAUCAUCAUUGUUCAUCAAGUUCACAAACCCCCCGCAGUGGCUCUCCGCCCGUGACAUCAACUCUGGCUUCCCCCACCCAAAAUCUGCAUCGUAUUGUGGCCUGCCCAACCAGCUGGUAAUAUGCAGGACCGUCUGCGGCAAGGUGCCCCUUGGAGGCUGGUUGUCCAUCUCGGCCAUCUCAAAGUAAUCGAUAGCGGAGCGCACUAGCUCGUCAUCCAUCUGAUCGAUGGCGCCUCUGAUGCGGCCAGCAACGGAUCCUAACACCUCUGUGGCAAUAUCUCCCACUACGCUGGUGAUGCCUAGCCAAAACAUCGCAUUGCCGAUGUAGCAGCUCGGGAGGGACGGCCUCAUCCUUUGCCGGAGGUCGGCCGGGAAAGUGAGGCGUGCUUCAGAAUCAGGUGAGAGCCGACGUGCAAUGCACGUGCACUGCCACAUGAGAGCGCUCACGGCACAAAAGGUGCUCGUGCCGCCACCGCAAAGGUGCUUUAAGGAGGCGACCUGGUCUCUGGAAAUAGUUAAGACUUCAAUGGCAAGAGGUCCUGACAGGUCGGAGAAGGUGUGCUUAGGGUAGAACAUCAAGAGUGCAUCGGGAUGGAUUGUGGGCGGGGACCGUGCACGGAGUAGGUCACGGUCAUGGCAUGGGAGCUCCACAGUAGCGUGGUCGCCAUGCUUGGAGAAGGCCGACCAUGUCUGGAAGAAGUGGAACGCGCUUAAGGCGUCG
rnacentral:lncRNA from 1 species